rnacentral:tRNA from 1 species
GCCGACGUGGCUCAGUGGCAGAGCAUCUCCUUGGUAAGGAGAAGGUCAUGGGUUCGAUUCCCAUCGUCGGCU